UACAGAGGUCCCAAGCGUUGUUCGGAUUCACUGGGCGUAAAGGGUGCGUAGGUGGUGAGGUAAGUCGGAUGUGAAAUCUCCGAGCUCAACUCGGAAAUGGCAUUGGAAACCACCUUGCUCGAGGGUUGGAGGGGGGACUGGAAUACUUGGUGUAGCAGUGAAAUGCGUAGAUAUCAAGUGGAACACCAGUGGCGAAGGCGAGUCCCUGGACAACUCCUGACACUGAGGCACGAAAGCUAGGGGAGCAAACAGG
rnacentral:rRNA from 1 species